GAUUGAACGCUGGCGGUAGGCUUAACACAUGCAAGUCGUGCGAGAAAGUAUCUUCGGAUAUGAGUAGAGCGGCGGACGGGUGAGUAACGCGUAGGAAUCUACCUAGUAGGAGGGAUAGCCCGGGGAAACUCGGAUUAAUACCGUAUACCUCCUUCGGGAGAAAGAAGGCCUCUCUUUGAAGCUUUCGCUAUUAGAUGAGCCUGCGUAAGAUUAGCUUGUUGGUGAGGUAAAGGCUCACCAAGGCGACGAUCUUUAGCGGGUCUGAGAGGACGAUCCGCCACAUUGGGACUGAGACACGGCCCAGACUCCUACGGGAGGCAGCAGUGGGGAAUAUUGGACAAUGGGCGCAAGCCUGAUCCAGCCAUACCGCGUGUGUGAAGAAGGCCCUAGGGUUGUAAAGCACUUUAAGUUGGGAAGAAAAGUUAUUGGUUAAUACCCAAUAACCGUGACAUUACCAUCAGAAUAAGGACCGGCUAAUUCCGUGCCAGCAGCCGCGGUAAUACGGAAGGUCCAAGCGUUAAUCGGAAUUACUGGGCGUAAAGCGCGCGUAGGUGGUUUAUUAAGUUGGAUGUGAAAUCCCCGGGCUCAACCUGGGAACUGCAUCCAAAACUGAUUCACUAGAGUACGAUAGAGGGAGGUAGAAUUCACAGUGUAGCGGUGGAAUGCGUAGAUAUUGUGAAGAAUACCAAUGGCGAAGGCAGCCUCCUGGAUCUGUACUGACACUGAGGUGCGAAAGCGUGGGUAGCGAACAGGAUUAGAUACCCUGGUAGUCCACGCCGUAAACGAUGUCAACUAGCUGUUGGAAAACUAUGUUUUUCAGUGGCGCAGCUAACGUAGUAAGUUGACCGCCUGGGGAGUACGGCCGCAAGGCUAAAACUCAAAUGAAUUGACGGGGACCCGCACAAGCGGUGGAGCAUGUGGUUUAAUUCGAUGCAACGCGAAAAACCUUACCUAUACUUGACAUACUUGGAAUGCUUUGUAAUGAAGCAGUGCCUUCGGGAGCCAAGAUACAGGUGCUGCAUGGCUGUCGUCAGCUCGUGUCGUGAGAUGUUCCGUUAAGUCGGAUAACGAGCGCAACCCUUACCCUUAUUUGCCAGCGAUUCGGUCGGGAACUAUAAGGGGACUGCCGGUGAUAAACCGGAGGAAGGUGAGGACGACGUCAAGUCAUCAUGGCCCUUACGUAUAGGGCUACACACGUGCUACAAUGGAGAAUACAGACGGACGCUAAGCCGCGAGGUGGUGCUAAUCCUAGAAAAUUCUUCGUAGUCCGGAUUGGAGUCUGCAACUCGACUCCAUGAAGUCGGAAUCGCUAGUAAUCGCGAAUCAGCAUGUCGCGGUGAAUACGUUCUCGGGUCUUGUACACACC
rnacentral:rRNA from 1 species